UAAAGAAUUUCGGUCAUCGAUGGGGAUGCGUUCCAUUAGCUUGUUGGCGGGGUAACGGCCCACCAAGGCAUCGAUGGAUAGGGGUUCUGAGAGGAAGGUCCCCCACAUUGGAACUGAGACACGGUCCAAACUCCUACGGGAGGCAGCAGUGAGGAAUAUUGGUCAAUGGGCGCUAGCCUGAACCAGCCAAGUAGCGUGAAGGAUGACUGCCCUAUGGGUUGUAAACUUCUUUUAUAUGGGAAUAAAGUGCAGUAUGUAUACUGCUUUGCAUGUACCUUAUGAAUAAGGAUCGGCUAACUCCGUGCCAGCAGCCGCGGUAAUACGGAGGAUCCGAGCGCUAUCCGGAUUUAUUGGGUUUAAAGGGAGCGUAGGCGGGUUGUUAAGUCAGUUGUGAAAGUUUGCGGCUCAACCGUAAAAUUGCAGUUGAUACUGGCAUCCUUGAGUACAGUAGAGGUAGGCGGAAUUCGUGGUGUAGCGGUGAAAUGCUUAGAUAUCACGAAGAACUCCGAUUGCGAAGGCAGCCUGCUGGACUGUAACUGACGCUGAUGCUCGAAAGUGUGGGUAUCAAACAGGAUUAGAUACCCUGGUAGUCCACACAGUAAACGAUGAAUACUCGCUGUUUGCGAUAUACAGUAA
rnacentral:rRNA from 1 species